rnacentral:rRNA from 1 species
UACGGGGGGGGCAAGCGUUGUUCGGAAUUACUGGGCGUAAAGGGCUCGUAGGUGGCCAACUAAGUCGGACGUGAAAUCCCUCAGCUUAACUGGGGAACUGCGUCCGAUACUGGAUGGCUUGAGUUUGGGAGAGGGAUGCGGAAUUCCUGGUGUAGCGGUGAAAUGCGCAGAUAUCAGGAGGAACACCAAUGGCGAAGGCAGCUCGCUGGGACGUGACUGACGCUGAGACGCGAAAGCGUGGGGAGCAAACAGG